rnacentral:rRNA from 1 species
AACGAACGCUGGCGGCGUGCCUAAUACAUGCAAGUCGAGCGAAUGGAUUAAGAGCUUGCUCUUAUGAAGUUAGCGGCGGACCGGUGAGUAACACGUGGGUAACCUGCCCAUAAGACUGGGAUAACUCCGGGAAACCGGGGCUAAUACCGGAUAACAUUUUGAACCGCAUGGUUCGACAUUGAAAGGCGGCUUCGGCUGUCACUUAUGGAUGGACCCGCGUCGCAUUAGCUAGUUGGUGAGGUAACGGCUCACCAAGGCGACGAUGCGUAGCCGACCUGAGAGGGUGAUCGGCCACACUGGGACUGAGACACGGCCCAGACUCCUACGGGAGGCAGCGGUAGGGAAUCUUCCGCAAUGGACGAAAGUCUGACGGAGCAACGCCGCGUGAGUGAUGAAGGCUUUCGGGUCGUAAAACUCUGUUGUUAGGGAAGAACAAGUGCUAGUUGAAUAAGCUGACACCUUGACGGUACCUAACCAGAAAGCCACGGCUAACUACGUGCCAGCCGCCGCCGUAA